rnacentral:rRNA from 1 species
UACGAAGGGGACUAGCGUUGUUCGGAAUCACUGGGCGUAAAGCGCACGUAGGCGGUUUGUUAAGUCGGAUGUGAAAUCCCUCGGCUCAACUGAGGAAGUGCAUCCGAAACUGGCAAGCUUGAGUACGAAAGAGGGUCGCGGAAUUCCCGGUGUAGUGGUGAAAUGCGUAGAUAUCGGGAGGAACACCAGUGGCGAAGGCGACUACCUGGCCUGUUCUUGACGCUGAGGCGCGAAAGCUAGGGGAGCAAACGGG